rnacentral:rRNA from 1 species
CAAGUCGAACGAGGCUGAGGGGGCAACUCCUCAGUUUAGUGGCGGACGGGUGAGUAACACGUGGGUAACCUGCCCGGAAGUGGGGAAUACCUCGGGGAAACUCGAGCUAAUACCGCAUAACAUCUUCGGGACGAAAGUCCUGACGAUCAAAGCGGGGUCGCAAGAUCUCGCGCUACCGGAUGAGCCCGCGCCCGAUUAGCUAGUUGGUGGGGUAACGGCUCACCAAGGUUUCGAUCGGUAACCGGCCUGAGAGGGCGAUCGGUCACACCGGAACUGAGACACGGUCCGGACUCCUACGGGAGGCAGCAGUGGGGAAUCUUGCGCAAUGGGCGAAAGCCUGACGCAGCAACGCCGCGUGGAGGAUGAAGGCCCUUGGGUUGUAAACUCCUGUCGGCUGGGAAGAAAUCUUCCGGGGCUAAUACCUCCGGAAGUUGACUGUACCAGCAAAGGAAGCCCCGGCUAACUCUGUGCCAGCAGCCGCGGUAAUACAGAGGGGGCCAGCGUUAUUCGGAAUUAUUGGGCGUAAAGGGCGCGUAGGCGGCCAUGCGUGUCUUCCGUGAAAUCCCUCGGCUUAACUGAGGACGUGCGGAAGAAACUGCAAGGCUUCGAGUCCGGGAGAGGGGGGGUGGAAUUCCCAGUGUAGCGGUGAAAUGCGUAGAUAUUGGGAGGAACACCGGUGGCGAAGGCGGCCCCCUGGACCGGAACUGACGCUGAGGCGCGAAAGCGUGGGUAGCAAACGGGAUUAGAUACCCCGGUAGUCCACGCCGUAAACGAUGGGCACUUGGUGUCGCGGGUAUCGACCCCUGCGGUGCCGAAGCUAACGCAUUAAGUGCCCCGCCUGGGGAGUACGGUCGCAAGGCUGAACUCAAAGGAAUUGACGGGGGCCCCACAAGCGGUGGAA